rnacentral:lncRNA from 1 species
ACCACGUGCAGCCACAUCCCUUGGACUCUGGGAAGGAGAUGCUGUUGGGUAGGUGGUGGACAGGGUCAUGCCCUAGGCUGAACCAGUAGCCAGCCCCAGCUACUCCAACGAAGCAAGGUUCAGCUUGCUAUGAUCAGGAAAGUUCUUAUGGGAGGAAGCUGGGGUUAAGCAGUGUUUUGUUGACUUUCCUGCCGCUGCGGCUUGUCAGCAGUUGCAGCUUGGCACAUCCGGCUUGGGGUCUGGAGGACCGGCAUCUGCAGGGUCAGAAGAGCAGUCUGCGAAUGCUGGAAGGAGUUCUGUGGCUCAGACUUUGUUUCUCCCCAGGACAGAGGUGUCAGCCUUCCACCCUACCAGAUCUCAACCCCCUCUUCCUCCCCUGCCCAUGUUAGAGUUCUCUGCCUGCCAGGAGGCCUGUUUUUCCAUCUUCUCUGUACAACCCUGAAUGCACUAGCCAGGACCGAACCAUGGGGGUUCUGGGAAGGGAGAGCCAGUCUCUGACACUGGCACCUGGACAGUGUUGGGAAGCUGUGACUGAGUCCCAGCCUGUGCCCACAACAUGCCACCAACCCAAGCACUAGAUACAGAAUGGACAAGCAGGUGGACCCUUCUGUGUACCUAUAGAGCCCCGCCUUUCUGAAGGACACCCUCACAGAACGUAUUAUAGCCAUCACGACCCUUUGACUCCAUAAUCCCACUCCUGGGACCGUUAGUUCAGAAGCUAAUCCAGAAAGAGAAGAAUGCUUAAAGUAUCAAGAUAUUUAAGGCAGGAGAAGAAACCACACUGGCAAUCUGCCACCGACCCUGUGGCCAGGUAACGGUUAAGCUACUUACACAGCAGCCUGGACCUGAGGGGUGGGAGACCACACUGCUGAAGGUACCUGGAAUACCAUUAAGAGAAAAGUAGGACAGCUGAUUAUAGCUAGGAGGACGCUAUAAUUACAGAUGCUACGAAGG